rnacentral:rRNA from 1 species
AUACGGAGGGUCCAAGCGUUAUCCGGAAUCAUUGGGUUUAAAGGGUCCGCAGGCGGUCAAUUAAGUCAGAGGUGAAAGCCCAUCGCUCAACGAUGGAACUGCCUUUGAUACUGGUUGACUUGAGUUAUACGGAAGUAGAUAGAAUAAGUAGUGUAGCGGUGAAAUGCAUAGAUAUUACUUAGAAUACCGAUUGCGAAGGCAGCCUACUACGUAUAUACUGACGCUGAGGGACGAAAGCGUGGGGAGCGAACAGGAUUAGAAACCCUAGUAGUCC